CGGUCGCACCCCCUUCCCGUCACGUGACGACGCGCGGAGGCGGCCUUGGAGAACCCUCCUCUGCCUGGCUGGAGACAGCCGGGCUGGAGCAACUGUCAACACCUGGUUCAGGCAGAGUGUGAACGCCGCCGAACCGCCUCUGCACCCCUUGGGGCGGUCUCGGGAGGCGAACCUACCUCGCCUGUUGAGGCGAGGUCUUCGGGACCGGUCGUGCAGGGCCCUGCCUCAUCUAAGGAGGCUGCACCGGAGAGCUCCCGGGUACCUUAACUUUGGACAUAACUUUUUGCCUUCCUUUUUAACGGUAGUCCAAGGAACGCUCCCCCCAACCCUGUUAUUGAGAGGAAGAGUAAAAUGGGAGUGACUAAAAGACAGUAACAAUACAAAAAUAAGCCUUCCGUUUAGACACUUACAUUGCCAAAGAUUGCUGAUGAGGAUUUUAGGUUAAAAUCCUCAUUUGUUCUAAGAAGACUGGAUUGAGAGCAACCUAAAACAUAAAUAAGGUUCCUUCAUUUUGCGAAAAGGAAAGGGUGUUGCAGGAAAGAGAGUGGGGCACGAGAGGAUGGCCACGUCCCAGGUCUCAGGUGAGUCCCGAGAUGGCCACCAAGUGUGGAUUCUUGGCUUCGUGCAAGAAAGAAUUCAAGAAUGAGCCACAGUAAAGAGAAAGAAGACUCAUUCAGGGAGAAACACACUCCACAGACAGAAUGUGGGCCAUCUCGGAAGUAUGAGUACUCGCACCAUGGCCAACUUCAAGCUACCAACCUGAAAUUGCAGAAUGUACAGUUGUGGAGAGAUGUGCACAAUCAGCUCAAGAGCCUGGGUUUCUGUGAGUCAGCCUGAAGGACUCUCAUGCUAGUGACAUCAGACAGUGACUGAAGCUGUAGCAGCAGAUCGGGGCAGGGAGCAAGGUGGACUGAAGCACCUAGGAGCUGGAUGGUCAUCUCUCCUUCUUCAAGUAGUUUCAGGGCAGCGGCUGCCACAACUUUCUCUUUUCCAGACUCAAAGUUCCUAGUAUCCUAUUUCAGGACAAGUCCUCAGGAAGCUGCAGCCUGGGAGGGGCCAGCAUGGGAAAUGAGAUCCUCCCACUGGAGAGUUGGAGCCUGCGACACAGGAGCAGAGCCAGCUGCCGGUGCAGGUACCAAUACUAUUCUAUGCAGAGCACAGGCAGUAGAGAGAAGGCCAACAGAAAAUGGCUGGUAUUUCAAGAAAGCACUUCAUAUGUCUGGGUGCGUUGUUGGGGGUGAAGGUAGUAGUAACACAAAAUAGCAGAGGACACUGCUCAGAGGGGAAUGGAAAAAACAUUCAUCAGGCAUCACGCUGGACAAUUUACAGACAUUAUUGGAUUUAUGUUCAUAGCAAACCAGUAUGGUGGAUAUUAACAUGACUUGGGAAAGUCAAUUAGCUGGUAAGCAUGUUCUGGGGUAUGGUGGGAGGAUUUCAGCUGUUUGGGGGUGGGAGUGGGGUUGGCAAGAGGCAAGCAAGACCUUAGUUCUAAAGUGACUUGUGGAAUUAGGCAAGGUGCCAAGAAGCACUCAGGCACAGCAAACAAAACGGAAACCACUGAUCAGAACUGGUACUCAAAAUGGCACCUGGGGGCUUCCCUGGUGGCGCAGUGGUUGAGAGUCCACCUGCCGAUGCAGGGGACACGGGUUCAUGCCCCGGUCCGGGAGGGUCCCACAUGCCGCG